UGGGUGUUUGAAAUCAGGAUGGUCUCAGCC
rnacentral:piRNA from 1 species